rnacentral:rRNA from 1 species
UACGUAGGCAGCAAGCGUUGUUCGGAGUUACUGGGCGUAAAGGGUGUGUAGGCGGUUGUUUAAGUUUGGUGUGAAAUCUCCCGGCUCAACUGGGAGGGUGCGCCGAAUACUGAAUGACUCGAGUGCGGGAGAGGUGAGUGGAAUUCCUGGUGUAGCGGUGAAAUGCGCAGAUAUCAGGAGGAACACCUGUGGCGAAAGCGGCUCACUGGACCAUAACUGACGCUGAUGCACGAAAGCUAGGGGAGCAAACAGG